GUGUGACUGCGUACCUUUUGUAUAAUGGGUCAGCGACUUAUAUUCUGUAGCAAGGUUAACCGAAUAGGGGAGCCGAAGGGAAACCGAGUCUUAACUGGGCGUUAAGUUGCAGGGUAUAGACCCGAAACCCGGUGAUCUAGCCAUGGGCAGGUUGAAGGUUGGGUAACACUAACUGGAGGACCGAACCGACUAAUGUUGAAAAAUUAGCGGAUGACUUGUGGCUGGGGGUGAAAGGCCAAUCAAACCGGGAGAUAGCUGGUUCUCCCCGAAAGCUAUUUAGGUAGCGCCUCGUGAAUUCAUCUCCGGGGGUAGAGCACUGUUUCGGCAAGGGGGUCAUCCCGACUUACCAACCCGAUGCAAACUGCGAAUACCGGAGAAUGUUAUCACGGGAGACACACGGCGGGUGCUAACGUCCGUCGUGAAGAGGGAAACAACCCAGACCGCCAGCUAAGGUCCCAAAGUCAUGGUUAAGUGGGAAACGAUGUGGGAAGGCCCAGACAGCCAGGAUGUUGGCUUAGAAGCAGCCAUCAUUUAAAGAAAGCGUAAUAGCUCACUGGUCGAGUCGGCCUGCGCGGAAGAUGUAACGGGGCUAAACCAUGCACCGAAGCUGCGGCAGCGACGCUGAUGCGUUGUUGGGUAGGGGAGCGUUCUGUAAGCCUGUGAAGGUGUGCUGUGAGGCAUGCUGGAGGUAUCAGAAGUGCGAAUGCUGACAUAAGUAACGAUAAAGCGGGUGAAAAGCCCGCUCGCCGGAAGACCAAGGGUUCCUGUCCAACGUUAAUCGGGGCAGGGUGAGUCGACCCCUAAGGCGAGGCCGAAAGGCGUAGUCGAUGGGAAACAGGUUAAUAUUCCUGUACUUGGUGUUACUGCGAAGGGGGGACGGAGAAGGCUAUGUUGGCCGGGCGACGGUUGUCCCGGUUUAAGCGUGUAGGCUGGUUUUCCAGGCAAAUCCGGAAAAUCAAGGCUGAGGCGUGAUGACGAGGCACUACGGUGCUGAAGCAACAAAUGCCCUGCUUCCAGGAAAAGCCUCUAAGCAUCAGGUAACAUCAAAUCGUACCCCAAACCGACACAGGUGGUCAGGUAGAGAAUACCAAGGCGCUUGAGAGAACUCGGGUGAAGGAACUAGGCAAAAUGGUGCCGUAACUUCGGGAGAAGGCACGCUGAUAUGUAGGUGAAGUCCCUCGCGGAUGGAGCUGAAAUCAGUCGAAGAUACCAGCUGGCUGCAACUGUUUAUUAAAAACACAGCACUGUGCAAACACGAAAGUGGACGUAUACGGUGUGACGCCUGCCCGGUGCCGGAAGGUUAAUUGAUGGGGUUAGCGCAAGCGAAGCUCUUGAUCGAAGCCCCGGUAAACGGCGGCCGUAACUAUAACGGUCCUAAGGUAGCGAAAUUCCUUGUCGGGUAAGUUCCGACCUGCACGAAUGGCGUAAUGAUGGCCAGGCUGUCUCCACCCGAGACUCAGUGAAAUUGAACUCGCUGUGAAGAUGCAGUGUACCCGCGGCAAGACGGAAAGACCCCGUGAACCUUUACUAUAGCUUGACACUGAACAUUGAGCCUUGAUGUGUAGGAUAGGUGGGAGGCUUGGAAGUGUGGACGCCAGUCUGCAUGGAGCCGACCUUGAAAUACCACCCUUUAAUGUUUGAUGUUCUAACGUUGACCCGUAAUCCGGGUUGCGGACAGUGUCUGGUGGGUAGUUUGACUGGGGCGGUCUCCUCCUAAAGAGUAACGGAGGAGCACGAAGGUUGGCUAAUCCUGGUCGGACAUCAGGAGGUUAGUGCAAUGGCAUAAGCCAGCUUGACUGCGAGCGUGACGGCGCGAGCAGGUGCGAAAGCAGGUCAUAGUGAUCCGGUGGUUCUGAAUGGAAGGGCCAUCGCUCAACGGAUAAAAGGUACUCCGGGGAUAACAGGCUGAUACCGCCCAAGAGUUCAUAUCGACGGCGGUGUUUGGCACCUCGAUGUCGGCUCAUCACAUCCUGGGGCUGAAGUAGGUCCCAAGGGUAUGGCUGUUCGCCAUUUAAAGUGGUACGCGAGCUGGGUUUAGAACGUCGUGAGACAGUUCGGUCCCUAUCUGCCGUGGGCGCUGGAGAACUGAGGGGGGCUGCUCCUAGUACGAGAGGACCGGAGUGGACGCAUCACUGGUGUUCGGGUUGUCAUGCCAAUGGCACUGCCCGGUAGCUAAAUGCGGAAGAGAUAAGUGCUGAAAGCAUCUAAGCACGAAACUUGCCCCGAGAUGAGUUCU
rnacentral:rRNA from 1 species